ensembl:lncRNA
CCCCACCCCCAGCCCUCAGUCGCCCCCCGGGGGUAGGAAGGAAAAAGGGCUAGAGCCGAGGGGGAAGGGGCUGAGAUUUCCCCGGCUGGAUCCGCUAAAGGCCCAAGAGAAGGGGAUUUCAGUUUUGAGCUGGAAGUGAGUCGCUUGCGUCUGGCAUCCCUUAGUCCGCGCCCCCGGCCGGAGGGACCGCGCUGGCCCUCGAGGAGGUUUGGGACUGUGCCCGCUGCGCUUGGGCCCCGGCGACCACUUAGAAAUCCCCACGCGCCUCCCCCACCCCCCGCCCCUGUCCAUCCGGCGGGGUGCCUGCGGGUCGCGCUGCCCUCCGCCCGCCUGCUCUACGCCGCGCUCCCUCCCGCGCUUGCUGGGCGCCCAGGCCAGUCCCAGGGGCUCGAAAGCCAGGGACCCGGAUGGGACCCUCCAGAAGCCCUGAUGGGGCAAGCCUUCCGGAAGACAGAAGACAUGUGAAACGAGCUGUUACAAAAGGACGCUAAGGGUUUUUCUACUGCCCCUCCUAUCUCCUGUCAUAGAUUCAGUUUUCCAGGAAGUCAGCAUAUAGUGAGCCAACAGCUAUCCUGUCUCCUCCGAGAAAAAGCAAAUUGGUUUCCAUCACUACCUGGCCGGCAGAAUCAGUUUACAGGAUGGUUUGCCAUUUCUGCUAAAAGGGGACUCCAUACUGUAAACUGGGGCUUCUGUGGUGACUCAGAUGGUAAAGAAUCUGCCUGCAACGCAGGAGACCUGGGUUCGAUCCCUGGGUCAGGAACAUCCCCUGAAGAAGGGAAUGGCAACCCGCUCUAGUAUUUUUGCCUGGAGAAUCCCACGGACAGAGGAACCUGAUGGGCUACAGUCCAUGGGGUUGCAAAGAAUCAGACAUGACUGAGUGACUAGCACACACAUACUGUAAACUAACCUGGUUGAAAUAAAAUCUAAAGACCUCUUUGAUUCCCCUUUUGCUUUUGUUACCCUGUGUCAACAUCACUAUAUUCAAUCCAGUUCAAUUUAUUUUACUUCCAAAGCAUGCCUCGAUUUCCAUCACUUCUCUGACAGAGAUGACUAGUUGACCUACCAUGUCUGCC